AUUGUUCCUCAAUUGUUGUAUUGGGUCCUUCACUGUAAGCGAUCCCGCCUGGCGCAGUCGUGUUGAUAACCCAAAUGGCCGAAUUUUCAAUUCUAACACCGACGAGCGCAGACUGAGCGUCUUAGGACCACAGCGCCCGACACACAUGGCAAAGGCAGGGCUAGGAAGCUCUUUACGAACUCUCGUCGGACCAUCUGUCAGUUCUGUAUGAUUUGAGCGACGAAAAGGAGUUACUGAGUACAUAUAUCAAUUCCGCCUUACUCUGGAGCCCACCCUGCUUGACAUUGCUGUUGCUGAAUCCAAGGGCGCUUUGAACAUGGUGUACCACACCGCCACGGCAACACUUGAAGUUGAAUUCCACGUCAAUCGCUUGCCUGAUGAAUUUAAGUCCCUUAUCUGCGAGCAACGACGCCUUAUUCAAGUGACCACGGUAUCGAAUCGCCCCGAAGAUAAAUUAGCACUCAAUAGACUACAAGGGUAUAUUAGGAAAGAGCUUUUGGCGCACCAUAACAGAUUGUGGGGGAGGAAGUUAAGUAAUAUACCGGAUGAUAACGGUAAGGAACGCUUCUUUUCCUGGACAUUUAUUAGGAAAUACAAAACCGAGUUCGUUUACCAUUUACUACUAUGAGAGACCGCAAAUUUGUAAUGGAAAAAGAUGCUGACAAAGCGACACUUAUUGUUGCUCACCUCGCUCUCAGUGCGUGCCACCUGCUUAUUGUUGCUAGUGAAGUUGUGAAUUAAACUUCUUCGUUGAUGCCGAGGAACAGCUUAAGCCUCUGCCAUAGUCGGAGUCGUGGAGAUUGUUAACGCUUUAUGGAGACGGGAGGCGCCUGACCUUGACGGUAUCACCAACGUGACGUUGAAGCAACUACCAGUGGUGGCAGUAGGAGGUCUAUACUGCCUCAUCAUCUCUUCGAUGGCUCGCGGCAUUGCACUGGGAGAUGGCAGCUGUUGUAAUGCUCCCGAAGAAACCAUAGUCAGCAUCUACGCUAAGCAACUAGAGACCUAUAAGUCUCUCGUCAGUCGUUGGCAAAGUAGCUAGGCGGCCAUACUGCGCCGCUUGAAAGCAAUUGUUGUCGCAAGUCACUCCCUGCAAAAUUUUCAACUUGGAUUUCGUUAAGAACGCGCCACGACUCCACAGCUCCUUCGCUUAACAGAGUAGACGACCUAAGCUUUCAACUUAAAAAAAAAAAAGGCAAUAAUAGGCGCGGUCUUUCUUAAUGCCCAAAGGCGUUUGAUCGAGUUUUGCACAAGGAUUAGCUUCACAAAUUGAGCGCCAUAGCCAUUACUAUUGUCUUCUUUAAUAUUAUCAAUCUUACCUAAAGCACCGCUUUGAUGUGUG